GUUCUUACGCCUCAACCUUUAAUCUCACUCGGCCAAAUUUUAUUUGCGCCAAACCUAUAACCUCACUCAUCACUUUUGUUUUUGUUGUAGGAACUCCCCCUGCUAGACUUUGAUUGCGAAGUUCCGAGGAGAAGAUUUCAAUGAGCCCCCUGCACAGAACACUCUAACGGGAGAAUGACAAAGGGGGUGACUUCUUUGCAUUUCACGUCUCUUUGAUUAGAAAGAUGGUGACAAGUAUGCCGGUGCCGACAUGAGAUGCCACACACUUUGGCGCCCAUCUUGAAACUCCUGUACAAGAAAAGAAAUGUUGGUAUAAGUCACUGCUUUAGUGGAGAUAAAGAAUACAAGUGCUGGUAAAUGACAAGCAGAAGACAAGCACCUCUCUGUAACCGCACAGCUACACACCUGAGCAGGGCUGUGGAACACGAGGGCAAUUGUCCACUAACUAAACCGUGGAUUUGUGGGCAAUCCGGCCUAAACGCUAGAAUUACAGAAGCAGAAGGCAGUUUCCAGAGAUAAUGGCGGAUCCCCUUAUGUGUUUUAUGUACAGAACUUUACAGGCAUUUAAAUAAGUUGCCAGGUAAUGACAUCAUUACGCCCUGACGAAGCCUGUUUGGUGAAACGCGCGUUGGCGUGUCAUGAUGGAGGAAUCACCCGCUCUUAACCGCUCUUAAGCAAAGGUUGCGAUAAGUCUGGAUGUUACUUGAACAAGCCGUAAAAAAUCUGGAGACACAUGUACAUUCCCUCGUCUGAGAUAUCCGAGUCUGGACAAAAAGACAUUAAGGCAGACCUUGAACUGAGGGUAACGUAUACUUGGGGCGGCUUACUUGCAGGCAUUCUUAUUACAGCCGGCGCACAGUGAGUCAAUCAGCCAUCGAUUUACUGCUUCACAAGCUGUGGGUAAACCGACACGGCUGCAGAAGAAGUGAAGGCGGCCUACAUUGUUACAUGCUUUCAGCAUUCUUUUCUACACAGGAUACUGUGUUUUCUAAAAGUAACAAAUGACUCUAAUUAUUUCCAGCACGCGGAAUUCUUUCAGAGACAUUUUUCAAACAAUUUAGAGCGGGUGCCUUCAGUGAUUUAUUCCUCCGACAUUUCUUUCCCACAUCAAUUUCUUUUUCCUUAAAUAGGAAUCCAUGGACUGUCUGAUGCAAGCUUGAAGCAAUAACUUUUUCUC